GACGAACGCUGGCGGCGUGCUUAACACAUGCAAGUCGAACGGAAAGGCCCUGCUUUUGUGGGGUGCUCGAGUGGCGAACGGGUGAGUAACACGUGAGUAACCUGCCCUUGACUUUGGGAUAACUUCAGGAAACUAGGGCUAAUACCGGAUAGGAGCUCCUGCUGCAUGGUGGGGGUUGGAAAGUUUCGGCGGUUGGGGAUGGACUCGCGGCUUAUCAGCUUGUUGGUGGGGUAGUGGCUUACCAAGGCUUUGACGGGUAACCGGCCUGAGAGGGUGACCGGCCACAUUGGGACUGAGAUACGGCCCAGACUCCUACGGGAGGCAGCAGUGGGGAAUAUUGCACAAUGGGCGGAAGCCUGAUGCAGCAACGCCGCGUGCGGGAUGACGGCCUUCGGGUUGUAAACCGCUUUCGCCUGUGACGAAGCGUGAGUGACGGUAAUGGGUAAAGAAGCACCGGCUAACUACGUG
rnacentral:rRNA from 1 species